GCCUUCGUGGUGUAAUGGUAGCAUACUCGGCGCAUAUUCGAAAGGUCCAGGUUCGAGUCCUUGCGAGAGCA
rnacentral:tRNA from 1 species